rnacentral:rRNA from 1 species
AUUGAACGCUGGCGGCAUGCCUUACACAUGCAAGUCGAACGGCAGCGGACCUUCGGUGCCGGCGAGUGGCGAACGGGUGAGUAAUAUAUCGGAACGUACCUUUCAGUGGGGGAGUAACGUAGCGAAAGUUACGCUAAUACAGCAUAUUCUGUGAGCAGGAAAGCAGGGGAUCGCAAGACCUUGCGCUGAUUGAGCGGCCGAUAUCAGAUUAGCUAGUUGGCGAGGUAAAGGCUCACCAAGGCGACGAUCUGUAGCGGGUCUGAGAGGAUGAUCCGCCACACUGGAACUGAGACACGGUCCAGACUCCUACGGGAGGCAGCAGUGGGGGAAUUUUUGGACAAUGGGCGCAAGACCUCGAUCCACGCCAUGCCGCCGUGAGUGAAGAAGGCC